AAGAGGCAAGUGUGUUGUUUGUUUGUGUGCCAGUGGAACUCCUCACUCAGUGGAAACACAGUGCUGGAACACGUGUGUGGAGAUAGUGCUACGGCCCGGUGGUGACUCUUCAUUUAAAUGUCCCAGUCCUCAAAGACACACAUUACAACAUGAAAGAAGUAUUUCUCUCCACAAACAAAAGCCGUCUCCAUGUCUCAGCGAUGAAACACAAGGUCAAGUCAUAAUUGGCUUUGGCAAAAACACUGAAAGUAAGUACUUAGAUAAAGACAUGUUGACAAAAAUAAACAGUGUGUUAAGUGAGUGGAUUUAUUCAUUAUUGUUUUGCAAUUGUCUUCCUCUCCAGGCUCCACCA